rnacentral:rRNA from 1 species
GACGAACGCUGGCGGCGUGCUUAACACAUGCAAGUCGAACGCUGAAGCUCAGCUUUUGUUGGGUGGAUGAGUGGCGAACGGGUGAGUAACACGUGAGUAACCUGCCUCCUUCUUUGGGAUAACGCCCGGAACCGGGUGCUAUUCCUGGAUUUUACCUGGUCUUCCCUUGGGGGUUGGUGGAAAGGGUUUUUUUGGUGGGGGAUGGGUUCGCGGCCUAUCAGCUUGUUGGUGGGGUGAUGGCCUACCAAGGCUUUGACGGGUAGCCGGCCUGAGAGGGUGACCGGUCACAUUGGGACUGAGAUACGGCCCAGACUCCUACGGGAGGCAGCAGUGGGGAAUAUUGCACAAUGGGCGCAAGCAUGAUGCAGCGACGCCGCGUGAGGGAUGGAGGCCUUCGGGUUGUGAACCUCUUUCGCUAAUGGUCAAGCCGCAACAAUGGUUGUGGUGAGGGUAGUGGGUAAAGAAGCGCCGGCUAACUACGUG